UUACUUACCUGGCAGGGGGGGGGGGGGUCAAGAAUGUGGUUUCCCCAAGUUCAGGCUCUUCCAUUGCACAAUUUAGUUGAACUGACUCCUGUGAUUUCCCCAAAGGUGGGAAACAAUUUUUAUUUUUUUUGGAGGGAGGGUUUAAUGUAAUGCUUAGGGUCUUA